rnacentral:tRNA from 1 species
UAGGAAAAUAGCUAAAAAAGUGAUGCUCUUACGAUGCAUUGAUGUUUAUUUAAAUAAACUUUUCUUAA